UACCUUAGCCAUCAGUAAGUGUUCUUGUCA
rnacentral:piRNA from 1 species